ensembl:lncRNA
GUGAAGAUUUUGUUAAUCUUUAACUUGUAAGGCGAUUGAUUACACACAGAGAUCUUCCUGUAAGAAAGCUCUCUCUUGUACAAAUAAUUGCGCCUUAUUAUAGAAAGCUCAGUUAUACCCAAAGAGCAAAACUGUCAGCUUUGAUUUGUCAGCUCAUCAUAGAGUUAUAGGAGGAUUUUUUAAUGAUCUGGAACUCAGGCCAUUGAUACAAACUGGGAGUCAAAUUAAUUGACUUGGUGUCAUCGCUGGACAGUGCCAAGAGCAGAGGAUUGCUUUGACUUGCUUUUGGUAAUCCAAGUAAUUGAAUUGAUGUGAUGGAGUUUCGUGAACUUCCUGGGAAGUAUUUUUGGAGUUUCUUAAGAGUUGAUAGCUGAGGAGACCAUAUUGCUUGCAAUCCAUGCAAGGGAUGACAGAAGUGAGGCUGGCUGAAGUCUGGGUCACCAGGGUAGUGGAUGUUUUGUUAGCCAACCAGAUGUGUUGUAAGGCAUUAGUCAUUGCCAUGAAGGAGUUUAAUCAGGAAACGGGCUAACAGAACUCUCAAAUUAGAAACUGAAUUGAGUGAUUGUUGGUAUGGCACUCCAAAAAAAAAAAAAAAAAAAAAAAAAAACCCAACCCCUUCAAAUACUCAUCUAAAUUAUUUAUGUUUUAGCUGUAGUCAACUCUCAUUUUCAUCCUUUAGCUUACCACUGGACAAUGGCUAGUUUCUGAGUGAGUCUGCUGAGGAAAAAGAGGGUUGAACAGGUCUUAUGUAGAUUAACAUCCAGCAAGAACCACUAGUUGGGAAGAGGUGGGCCACCUGGUUUAGGACCUGGCUGCACUGUCAUACAUCUGAAUGAGAAAAAAUGGUCUCCUUCCCUGAAUGAGUCAUUUCCUAUUUUUGUCAACAGUUACUUGCAACUGUGCCUCAGCUGCCCAGAGGGAUGUGGGUUGGAGUCUUUGAGAUGACAAUGAGCUUUGGAUGUGGUGGGGCGGAUCUGUACUUUGCCAGGCUUGUACGUUUUUCCCAUGAACAAUUUCUUCUUUCACAGAUGCAGUUUAUUGCUGGUUCCAAUUCUGAAUGAGAGGUAGCCAGAAUUCAUGAAGAGUUCUUAGCACCUUACUUGGCUUCAUAGGGUGGUCAGAGAAGUUCUUAUCCCAGCUAUCUUCAAAGAAAGACAGAAGAUCUUAAGAACUGCAGGCUGCUAUUACAUCAGUUACUGACUUUUUAAACAUCACAUGAGAGUACAGCCAGUUUCUCGAGAGGAAUUAAUCCACCUGUAGGCUGCAACAAGGUCUAAAUAAGCUGCUUGGCACCAACCUCUAAUUUAUAGUUAGGGUCCUCCACAACCCCCCAUGAUGGACUGAAGCCAGCUGCCUGAGCCAGCACUCAUCUUUCCUACAGCAGGGCUCCUGAAUUGCAGUAGGAAAGCCAUUAUAUUUGGCUGUAGAUCCUAGAGAGGAACUCUUUGAGAGAAACACCAGAAGAGUGGUUUACAUGGCCAGACGUGGGCAUCCAAGUGCCCUUGGAGAUUGCCUGCUGUAUCCAAGUGCUGCUGCAGAAAGAGCUCCAGAGCUCCACAGGUUAUGUGGUGUACUUGUCAGCUCCAUGCAGAUGUCUUGGCUGCUCUAGAACAUCUCAAAGGAUGUGAUAGGCAUACCUGAAGUGAACUAUGCCUGUAUGUGCCUGGCUGGUUGGCUGAAUCACUUCAAGCUGUGUUGACUAGAGCUUCAUUGAUUCUAGUAAGUAGGCUAUCAAGAAAGUCGCCUUCUCUGUGGUCAUUAAAUGAAUAGACAGUCUUGUGCUCCAUGAAUAAUAGAUAAUUAUGGAACAGUAGAAGGAGGCGAUGGUGUCAUACAUUGCUGACACAUCACUACAUUGUGUGUUAUUUCAUCACCUACAGCCUGUUCCCCACCCGUCACAAGGAGGCAAUAAUAAAUCCCACUCUUCUUGAGUUAAAGGGCUUGACUCUUAGUCCACUUAAAGCAAGGGCAUCCAAGUGCAGCCCAGCAGCAGCAACGUGCAGCUGUGGCAAAUUUGGCCCACCGCUGCCAGCUGAAAAUGAAGCAGACACAACCGGUGGCACUUUUGUUAGUCUAGACUAGGAUCUCACUGUGGCCCUGUAAAGGAUAUUGUCAGCAAACCUUUUGUCUGUUUUCAAGACAGCCAACCCUGAUCUUUCUUAACUGAGUUUUUGCACGUGACUGAGUGAAUUUAUGUAGUCAGGAUGGUGCAGCGCAGCU